GUGCCAACAUGCCUGGCAGAAUUUUGCUUUUCUUUAUACUCAUGAGACUGGUUUCUAAUUUCCUUUCUUGAACUUUCCUUGUCCAUUCUUAUAUUAAUGGUUGCAACCUUGCAACAAGUUGUCAUGGAAUAAGUUGGUUGCUAUUACAAAUUAUUUUUUGCACUAAAGGUACUACUAUCGUGUAUAAGAAAGCUUUUAGCUUCUCGCUGAAUGCCGCCGCCAUGGCGUUCAGGCGCUUCGUGGAGGUUGGCUGAGUGGCCUACGUCUCCUUUGGGCCUCAUGCCGGAAAGCUGGUCGUGAUUGUAGAUGUUAUUGAUCAGAACAGGGCUUUGGUUGAUGGACCUUGCACUCGGGUAAGAAGACAGGCCAUGCCUUUCAAAUGCAUGCAGCUCACUGACUUCAUCCUCAAGUUCCCACACAGUGCCUGCCAGAAGUAUGUCUGACAAGCCUGGCAGAAGGCAGAUAUAAAUACAAAAUAGGCAGCCACAAGAUGGGCCAAGAAGAUUGAAGCCAGAGAAAGGAAAGCUAAGAUGACGGACUUUGAUCGUUUUAAAGUCAUGAAGGCCAAGAAAAUGAGGAACAGAAUGAUCAAGAAUGAAGUUAAGAAGCUUCAGAAGGCAGCUCUCCUAAAAGCUUCUCCAAAAAAAGCACCUGCCAACGGUGCUGCUGCAGUUGCAGCGGCUGCUGCUAAAGUUCCAGCAAAAAAGAUGACCACUGCAGGCAAGAAGGCUCCCACCCAGAAUGUUCCUGCCCAGAAAGCCACAGGCCAGAAGGCAGCACCUCCUCCGAAAGCUCAGAAGGGUCAAAAAGCUGCAGCCCAGAAAGCACCUGCUCCAAAGGCAUCUGGCAAGAAAGCAUAAGAGUAUUAUAAAGUAAUAAAGGUUCUUUUUGACAUGUUGACAAAAAAAAAAAA